rnacentral:rRNA from 1 species
AUUGAACGCUGGCGGCAUGCCUUACACAUGCAAGUCGAACGGCAGCACGGGAGCUUGCUCCUGGUGGCGAGUGGCGAACGGGUGAGUAAUGCAUCGGAACGUGCCAUUGAGUGGGGGAUAACGUAGCGAAAGUUGCGCUAAUACCGCAUAUUCUGUGAGCAGGAAAGCAGGGGACCGCAAGGCCUUGCGCUCUUUGAGCGGCCGAUGUCAGAUUAGCUAGUUGGUGAGGUAACGGCUUACCAAGGCGACGAUCUGUAGCGGGUCUGAGAGGAUGAUCCGCCACACUGGAACUGAGACACGGUCCAGACUCCUACGGGAGGCAGCAGUGGGGAAUUUUGGACAAGUGGGCGCAAGCCUGAUCAGCCAUGCGCGUGAGUGAAGA